ACAGAGGUGGCAGCAAGCUCUUUCCUUCGCGACUCCGAACGCGCUACAGUCCAUACUCUUCAGUCUUCACCCUUAACUGCCAUAACCAAAACUGAACAAUUCUUUAACAAUCCAAUAUUCCAACCGAACUGCAAUCAAUACAGUUCCCCUCCACAUUCCCUGCAUCUGUGGUAAGAGAUGAAAGCAGAAAAUUUGCUGGCAUCAGCCAGCAUCAACAUAGGAGUAGCCAUGUUCAUCCUUUCACUAUUUUCCAUACUGAAAAAGCAGCCUUCAAAUGCACCAAUAUACUAUCCACGUCGCAUUUCUCUGAAUCACCAUAUCUUUUUGGACGAGCGUUUUACCUUUUCCCGAUUUCUUCCCUCACUGGAAUGGGUUCGUCGCGCAUCGCGAGUUUCCGAAGGGCAGAUUCUUCAGCAGUGGGGUCUUGACGUGCUCGUCUUCAUUAGACUGUUUAAAUUCGGGCUGUGGGUGCAUCUUUCUUGCUUGUAUUUUAUUUCUUGCUAUGGAUUAUACCUAUUGUACAAGGAAUAUAAAGAUAUCUGGUUGAAAAGGAUUCAGCAGCUACAUAACUUAAGGCAUCGACCAGAUCAAUUCACUGUCCUAGUUCGAGAGAUCCCUUUUUGCAAUGAGCACAAAGCUUAUGGUUGCUGUGUGGAUCACUUUUUUUCUAAACACUAUCCAUCUUCUUAUCAAUCAUAUCAGAUUCUGUACGACUGCGAGGAACUCGAAAAGUUGCUAGUAAGGAUUAUUCUCAUUGUGCUGCUCACCAAAGAAAAAAAAAAAAAGAAAGAUCUCCUUACACUGAUCUUGAUACAUAUUUUGAGGAGUAUAUUUGUCCCUUUGGAACACACCAACCUGAGAUGAAGGAAAGUAAUAAUCUGUUAGACUUUAGCUGUAAAUCAAUGUUGAUUAAUGUCCUCAGUUUAGCAGCCUCUGACAUUUUUCUACGGUUAAAAUGCAUAGGCUUAGAAUCUGAGAUCCAUCUCAAAGGAAAUUUGAAAUCAAGGUACUAUUAUCAUGGCUGCAGUUGAAAUAUCUAUAUGUUGUUUAUCAUAGAAUAUUUCACACUUGUCUUCACCAGUAUGCUCAAUUGAUUAAGGGAUACAAAAAUGUAUGACUUUAUUUGCUUAUUGAAUAUGUACUGCAUAAGUGUAGGUGGUUGGCUAAUGUUUGUUACUUUGUUAUGUUCUGAGUUAACCAAAGUAACAGUGUAUCCUGUCUACUGGUCACUUCCUUUUGAGUUAAUAGUUGACCCAAAAUAUGACAGUUUAUUUGGUCUUAAGUUAGUAAUGUGUGCUUGUACAUUAUUCCGAAAAGUGCAAAAGGAGGGGGGAUGAAAAGAUUGGAAUCAAAUAAUCAGUAGGUAGAGGUUUUAUUUCAGGUGGUAUUCCCUCCCUUAUUAGUAGCAUCAGUGUUAUGUACAGUGUCUUUUCGCUUCUCUUUGGUAGUCAGUGCAACAAACCGAAAUUUUUGGAUGUAGAGAUUAAUUGGGAGUCCACACUUCUAAAUUUUCAUUUCUGUAAUUAUGGAAUUUGCCAGUAUCAAAUUUUCCACUUUUAUGUAAAAUGUCAAUCAUUCUAAAUAGCCUCCAUGGCCUCCAUUCUAAAUUGCCUCCAUUAUGGAAUUUGCCAGUAUCAAAUUCCACACUUAACUUCAUUCUAAAUAGCCUCCAUUAUGUAAAAUGUCAAUCAUUCAUUUCUGUAAUUAUGGAAUUUGCCAGUAUCAAAUUUUCAUUUCUGUAAAAUGUCAAUCAUUCAUUCUAAAUAGCCUCCAUUAGUCCGAUUGUGAGGGUUAAUGGAUCCUCUGUUACAUGAGCUAUUCUUUUGUGUCAGGAAAGUCGGAUGUGAAGUUAAGUUACACUGGCAUAGAAUGCUAUUUGCACUGCUCUACGCUGUAUUUAUGAUUUGGCUAUGUUGCUUUUCUGUGAUAAGAACAGUGAAUGUCUUGCUGACAGGGGUUAAGAACUGCAGAAAGCAUUUUUCUUGGAUGAUUGGAUUGCAUUUAAUGAAAUGAAGUAACUUAAAUAUACUCCAUACCGUACAAAGUUUAAAAACUACAUUUCAGAAAGAACCUGUUUAUGCUAUGCUGCAGGUGCGUUAAUAACAGUCACAUGUUAAAGUUAAAGCAAGACAGAUGCAUGACAUAAGUGAAGCUAGCUCUAAUUUGCUUAAUACAUUGUAAAAUGCAAUUGAUUGAGAAAUUGCCCACCAUCCUAAUAUAUAUUUUUGUUAAAAUUAAUGAAUUUCAUUGACAUACAUUACGAGUCUUAAUUGGUAGUCAUAUUUCUAGCACACUAUAAAAAUGAAAUGUUUUUAGCAGAUUGUUAUACAAAUUCACGUCAUUCCUUUGAUUGUAAAACCACUGAGUAGCUUUAUCUUUACUAGGUAUGGGUUUGGAGAUCAUGGUUUUUGACUGGAUAUUGUAGUUUAGAUUGUGAGUAGAGCAUGUUAGAUCUGAAAAUGAAAGCAUGCCUGCUUUUAUUUCUUCACGUACAAACCCAAAAAAGUUGGUAGUGCAAUCAUUACUUCUCGCUGAUGCAUGGGCACAGAGAUUUUCUUACCAUCUGGAAGAGGAAAUUCAGUGUAACACUAUGAUAACAUUUAUUGUACCAUCCUUAAAUUUUCGUUCUGUAUCUGUCAGCUUAAUCAAAUAUCUAAAUGCCUAUUUCCUGAACGACUACUAAUCACAAGAUAAUAUUGGAUGUAGAUUCAUGGCAAAUCAAUCAGAGAAAGGAUUGAGAAAUUGACACAGCAGUCAUUGACUAAUAGAUAUACAAGACGAUCAGAUAGCUCAAAAAUAGAAAUACUCAAAGAAAUGCUUCAAGAUGUGUGUCAUAAGAUACGACACAUAAGGGGUGAGGUGAUGCUUUCAGAAAAGGUAAAAGUAAUCAUCAGAAUCAUGGUACUAUACUCUUUAUUGAGUACUGUCAUCAGUAUUGGCUAUUAUUACUGGACAACUUAUUCUUUUCAAAUUGAGAUGUGAUUUACCAUUCUGGUGUUUUUGGUUUAAACUUUGCAAGUAAAGUUCAUGAAUAAAAAGGGAUUUUCUUCAGUUACUGGCAAAUCAUAGAACAUCCAAAGAUUCUUGUCAAGAUUCAUGUUCUGCUUUAGUGUUUAAUGUCUGUGGAAGUGCAAAAAUUGAUUGUUGAUAUUGCUUUCUGGCUAAUGUGGAUAGCUUUGUGAUUGCUUCUGCUAUUUCCUAUAUUUUAUACUCCACGUUCCAUGAGUGGCUUGAGGAGAAGAUUGCUCAUUGUGAAAUUAUGAGAAACUAAAAAAAUUUUCUCCAUGUUACACAGCAACGGCUUUUUUUAUUUUCUUAUUAUUAUUAUUUUUUUCAACUGUCUGGGAAAACUAUUUGGUGGUGCAAUUUCCCAAACACCUUCGGCUAAAACAUUCCCUUGCCAGGAGGCAGAUCGAAGCCUAAAAAUUCCUAAUUAUCAAGAUGACCUAUCCUAGAUUACAAGUUAGCAACUACAUUGCAUGCUCUUACUCUAUACUGAACAUUGCAGCUAGCAAAGCUUUACAGUCCCCGAUGAUUGCUAGAGCUAGGUAAUGUGAAUUGUUUCUUGGUUAAAAGUUCUACUGACAAUUAGGAAUCAGUUUAAAAUUCAAGAUUUUCACAUCCAUGUGCCAUGCAUGUUCUAGGCUUCGUCUGAUGCCCCACAUUCAUGUAACAUCCAUCACUGAGCAUAUCAGUUAUGCUCCCAGUGUAUCCCAAAGUUUGUUGGACGAAAAACAUAAAUUAGUUUGUCAAGAAUUUUUGAUAUUCAGAUUUCUAUUGUCAUGCUUCAUUUGUGUAGGAGUUGCCUGUUGCAUUUGUUACGUUCAGGUCUCGCUUGGGUGCUGCAUUAGCUGCCCAAUCUCAACAGCACUCAAAUCCUCUAGUAUGGAUCACAGGAAUAGCCCCAGAACCAAGGGAUGUUCUCUGGAGUAAUUUGGCAAUUCCUUAUCGACACCUGCCGCUGCAUGAAAUUGUUGUCUUCUUGUUAGCAUCACUUCUCACAAUAUUCUUUGCCAUCCCUGUCACAGCUAUUCAAGGAAUUGCAAAAUUUGAAAAAUUACGAAAAUGGUUUCCACCUGCAAUGGCAGUGCAAUUAAUACCAGGACUAAGAUCCAUUGUGACAGGCUAUCUACCAAGUGUGAUUCUGAAUUUUUUUAUUUACAUUGUUCCCUUUUCCAUGAUUGCUAUGGCACAAAUGGCGGGUUAUAUUUCAAGGAGUAAGAAGGACAUAAAAGCUUGUAAUAUGGUCUUCUAUUUUCUUGUGGGAAAUGCAUUCUUCUUAAGCUUAUUAUCUGGAUCCUUACUAGACCAAAUUGGGGAAUCUUUCACUCAUCCUAAAGAUUUUCCCGGUCAUCUCGCCGGUGCCGUUUCUGCCCAAGCAGACUUUUUCAUGACAUACAUCUUGACAAAUGGGCUGUUUGGAUUUUCUUUAGAGAUUCUCCAACCAGGAUUAUUCAUGUGGAACUACAUAAAAUCCCACACAUGGCACCGCGGAAAGAGGAAAACUGCAUAUCUUAACUCAAUACCUUAUUACCGAAUUAUUCCUUUUGUUGCUCUCUCUAUAUUGAUUGGCAUGGUAUAUGCAAUUAUCUCGCCCUUGCUUCUGCCAUUUCUAGUUGGCUACUUACUGCUAGGCUAUGUUGUUUUCAUUAAUCAGGUUAUCUCUUUAUCCUUCAAGAAAUCAUUGAGAAUCUCAUACUUCUGAAAUUUAUCACAAUUUGC